CCACGGAGCCUGCAAACCAAGGAGCAGCCCUGGGACUUCACUGGGCCAGAGCAAAGCUCCUCCCACCCCAAGGGGCUGCGAAUUCCAUUAGGAUUCCACACUGCCGCCCGCCCCCUGGAGGAGUCGGGCAAGAGACGAUGAGGCUUCCAGAGCCUGUCCCUCCUGCUUUUAGCCUGGGUGGCAUUCUGUGCCGCACGAUGAGUUUGGCAAAGGCUCCCCAGUUCACUGUGCAGAGUCGGGAUGUUUGCCCUCCAGGACAACUCAAAAUCUGGUGAUAAGUGGCUGCCAAGUUAUGACAGCAGAAGAGAGCGAGAGC